rnacentral:ncRNA from 1 species
ACAACAGCUAUGACAGGAAAUAGUAGGUACUGCGGAUCAUCAGAGAGAAGGCGGCUGGUGCGAGCCUUUGUGAAAGAGAUACUGAACCGGUCCUGGAGCUGUGGCCUGAACGAACCGCGUUUUAGUAGGCGUCACCGGGAUUCUCCCGUUACAGAGAUACAGUAUCGGCAUUUCUGUGCCCGUACUGAUGAGCGCGGAAUUAAGGAACUGCGGAAAAAUACAGAAACCAUCCUUCGCAAUCUGAACCAUUCUACAGUUCUUCAUCCGAAUUUAGGUGGUACCGCGGACGCGUGAUCGUCCGCCCUAAGC